GAUGAACGCUGGCGGCGUGCCUAAUACAUGCAAGUCGAGCGAACAGAUGAGGAGCUUGCUCCCCUGACGUUAGCGGCGGACGGGUGAGUAACACGUGGAUAACCUACCUAUAAGACUGGGAUAACUUCGGGAAACCGGAGCUAAUACCGGAUAAUAUAUUGAACCGCAUGGUUCAAUAGUGAAAGACGGGUUUGCUGUCACUUAUAGAUGGAUCCGCGCCGCAUUAGCUAGUUGGUAAGGUAACGGCUUACCAAGGCAACGAUGCGUAGCCGACCUGAGAGGGUGAUCGGCCACACUGGAACUGAGACACGGUCCAGACUCCUACGGGAGGCAGCAGUAGGGAAUCUUCCGCAAUGGGCGAAAGCCUGACGGAGCAACGCCGCGUGAGUGAUGAAGGUCUUCGGAUCGUAAAACUCUGUUAUUAGGGAAGAACAAAUGUGUAAGUAACUCUGCCCGUCUUGACGGUACCUAAUCAGAAAGCCACGGCUAACUACGUG
rnacentral:rRNA from 1 species